GGGCCCGCACAAGCGGUGGAGCAUGUGGUUUAAUUCGAUGAUACGCGAGGAACCUUACCAGGGCUUAAAUGCAGAACGACCGGGGUGGAAACACCCCUUUCUUCGGACGGUCUGCAAGGUGCUGCAUGGUUGUCGUCAGCUCGUGCUGUGAAGUGUCGGGUUAAGUCCCAUAACGAGCGCAACCCCUAUUUCUAGUUGCCAGCGGUUCGGCCGGGGACUCUAGAGAAACUGCCAGCGUAAGCUGUGAGGAAGGUGGGGAUGACGUCAAAUCAUCACGGCCCUUACGUCCUGGGCCACACACGUGCUACAAUGGUGGGGACAACGAGUCGCUAACCCGCGAGGGUAAGCU
rnacentral:rRNA from 1 species